rnacentral:rRNA from 1 species
CCUCGGAGAGUUUGAUCCUGGCUCAGGACGAACGCUGGCGGCGUGCCUAAUACAUGCAAGUCGAGCGAACAGAAGGGAGCUUGCUCCCGGAUGUUAGCGGCGGACGGGUGAGUAACACGUGGGUAACCUGCCUGUAAGACUGGGAUAACUCCGGGAAACCGGAGCUAAUACCGGAUAGUUCCUUGAACCGCAUGGUUCAAGGAUGAAAGACGGUUUCGGCUGUCACUUACAGAUGGACCCGCGGCGCAUUAGCUAGUUGGUGGGGUAAUGGCUCACCAAGGCGACGAUGCGUAGCCGACCUGAGAGGGUGAUCGGCCACACUGGGACUGAGACACGGCCCAGACUCCUACGGGAGGCAGCAGUAGGGAAUCUUCCGCAAUGGACGAAAGUCUGACGGAGCAACGCCGCGUGAGUGAUGAAGGUUUUCGGAUCGUAAAGCUCUGUUGUUAGGGAAGAACAAGUGCGAGAGUAACUGCUCGCACCUUGACGGUACCUAACCAGAAAGCCACGGCUAACUACGUGCCAGCAGCCGCGGUAAUACGUAGGUGGCAAGCG